GCCUUGGUGGCUCAGUUGGUAGAGCGUGAGUCUCAUAAUCUUAAGGUCGUGAGUUCGUUUCUCACCUAAGGCA
rnacentral:tRNA from 1 species